GAUGAAGAACGCAGCGAAAUGCGAUAAGUAAUGCGAAUUGCAGAAUUCAGUGAAUCAUCGAAUCAUUGAACGCACAUUGCGCCCGCCAGUAUUCUGGCGGGCAUGCCUGUCUGAGCGUCGUUUCGACCCUCGCGCCCGGCUUCUGUCGGGGGCGGUGUUGGGGAUCGGCCACACCCUUCAGUGGGAGGCCGGCCCCUAAAUUCAGUGGCGACCACGCUGUAGCCUCCCCUGCGUAGUACUAAAACCACCUCGCAGGCGGAGAGCGGUGCGGCCCGCCGUAAAACCCCCCAACUUUUACAAGGUCGACCUCAGAUCAGGUAGGAAUACCCGCUGAACUUAAGCAUAUCAAUAAGCGGAGGA
rnacentral:misc_RNA from 1 species